rnacentral:rRNA from 1 species
CCUACGGGUGGCUGCAGUGAGGAAUAUUGGUCAAUGGCCGAGAGGCUGAACCAGCCAAGUCGCGUGAGGGAAGAAUGCCCUAUGGAUUGUAAACCUCUUUUGUCAGGGAGCAAAGUCCCUCACGUGUGGGGUUUGGAGAGUACCUGAAGAAAAAGCAUCGGCUAAUUCCGUGCCAGCAGCCGCGGUAAUACGGAGGAUGCGAGCGUUCUCCGGAUUUAUUGGGUUUAAGGGGUGCGUAGGCGGGUUAUCAAGGCAGCGGUAAAAUCGUGGCGCUCAACUCCAUCCAGCCGUUGAAACGGGCGAGCUUGAGUGCGCGAGAAGUAUGCGGAAUGCGUGGUGUAGCGGUGAAAUGCAUAGAUAUCACGCAGAACUCCGAUUGCGAAGGCAGCAUACCGGCGCCCGACUGACGCUGAAGCGCGAAAGCGUGGGUAUCGAACAGGAUUAGAUACCCUGGGAGUC